rnacentral:rRNA from 1 species
GAUGAACGCUGGCGGCGUGCCUAAUACAUGCAAGUCGAGCGAACAGACGAGGAGCUUGCUCCUCUGACGUUAGCGGCGGACGGGUGAGUAACACGUGGAUAACCUACCUAUAAGACUGGGAUAACUUCGGGAAGCCGGAGCUAAUACCGGAUAAUAUAUUGAACCGCAUGGUUCAAUAGUGAAAGACGGUUUUGCUGUCACUUAUAGAUGGAUCCGCGCCGCAUUAGCUAGUUGGUAAGGUAACGGCUUACCAAGGCAACGAUGCGUAGCCGACCUGAGAGGGUGAUCGGCCACCAUGGAACUGAGACACGGUCCAGACUCCUACGGGAGGCAGCAGUAGGGAAUCUUCCGCAAUGGGCGAAAGCCUGACGGAGCAACGCCGCGUGAGUGAUGAAGGUCUUCGGAUCGUAAAACUCUGUUAUUAGGGAAGAACAAAUGUGUAAGUAACUAUGCACGUCUUGACGGUACCUAAUCAGAAAGCCACGGCUAACUACGUG